rnacentral:rRNA from 1 species
GAUGAACGCUGGCGGCGUGCCUAAUACAUGCAAGUCGAGCGAACGGACGAGAAGCUUGCUUCUCUGAUGUUAGCGGCGGACGGGUGAGUAACACGUGGAUAACCUACCUAUAAGACUGGGAUAACUUCGGGAAACCGGAGCUAAUACCGGAUAAUAUUUUGAACCGCAUGGUUCAAAAGUGAAAGACGGUCUUGCUGUCACUUAUAGAUGGAUCCGCGCUGCAUUAGCUAGUUGGUAAGGUAACGGCUUACCAAGGCAACGAUGCAUAGCCGACCUGAGAGGGUGAUCGGCCACACUGGAACUGAGACACGGUCCAGACUCCUACGGGAGGCAGCAGUAGGGAAUCUUCCGCAAUGGGCGAAAGCCUGACGGAGCAACGCCGCGUGAGUGAUGAAGGUCUUCGGAUUGUAAAACUCUGUUAUUAGGGAAGAACAUAUGUGUAAGUAACUGUGCACAUCUUGACGGUACCUAAUCAGAAAGCCACGGCUAACUACGUGCCAGCGGCCGCGGUAAUACGUAGGUGGCAAGCGUUAUCCGGAAUUAUUGGGCGUAAAGCGCGCGUAGGCGGUUUUUUAAGUCUGAUGUGAAAGCCCACGGCUCAACCGUGGAGGGUCAUUGGAAACUGGAAAACUUGAGUGCAGAAGAGGAAAGUGGAAUUCCAUGUGUAGCGGUGAAAUGCGCAGAGAUAUGGAGGAACACCAGUGGCGAAGGCGACUUUCUGGUCUGUAACUGACGCUGAUGUGCGAAAGCGUGGGGAUCAAACAGGAUUAGAUACCCUGGUAGUCCACGCCGUAAACGAUGAGUGCUAAGUGUUAGGGGGUUUCCGCCCCUUAGUGCUGCAGCUAACGCAUUAAGCACUCCGCCUGGGGAGUACGACCGCAAGGUUGAAACUCAAAGGAAUUGACGGGGACCCGCACAAGCGGUGGAGCAUGUGGUUUAAUUCGAAGCAACGCGAAGAACCUUACCAAAUCUUGACAUCCUUUGACAACUCUAGAGAUAGAGCUUUCCCCUUCGGGGGACAAAGUGACAGGUGGUGCAUGGUUGUCGUCAGCUCGUGUCGUGAGAUGUUGGGUUAAGUCCCGCAACGAGCGCAACCCUUAAGCUUAGUUGCCAUCAUUAAGUUGGGCACUCUAAGUUGACUGCCGGUGACAAACCGGAGGAAGGUGGGGAUGACGUCAAAUCAUCAUGCCCCUUAUGAUUUGGGCUACACACGUGCUACAAUGGACAAUACAAAGGGCAGCGAAACCGUGAGGUCAAGCAAAUCCCAUAAAGUUGUUCUCAGUUCGGAUUGUAGUCUGCAACUCGACUACAUGAAGCUGGAAUCGCUAGUAAUCGUAGAUCAGCAUGCUACGGUGAAUACGUUCCCGGGUCU